ACCCCUGACAAGUUACUCAACUGACAAGUUUCCUUGUUUAAGGACAAGAACACCAGGAUCAUACCCAUAUGGUACUCUUGACAUUUAUGAAACAUUCAUUAGGCCAAACACUUUAGCAAAAAUGCAGACUACAGUCACUACAGUGCAGCAAAUUGCGCAUGACAACAAACUAUAGUUUCUUGUACAUCCAACAGCAAUUUCAGUAAAAUUGUUUAGUGCAAUAUGAUGUUCAUUAAAUGUUUGUAGUUAAAAAAUACCUAGGUUACACUAGGGCACAGGCAAGUUACACUAGGGCACAGCCUGGUUACACUACUAUAGGGCACAGGCAAGUUACACUAGGGCACACGCAAGUUACACUAGGGCACAGGCAAGUUACACUAGGGCACAGGCAAGUUACACUAGGGCACAGGCAAGUUACACUAGGGCACAGCCAGGUUACACUACUAUAGGGCACAGGCAAGUUACACUAGGGCACAGGCAAGUUACACUAGGGCACAGGCAAGUUACACUAGGGCACAGGCAAGUUACACUAGGGCACAGCAAGGUUACACUACUAUAGGGCUCAGGCAAGUUACACUAGGGCACAGGCAAGUUACACUAGGGCACAGCCAGGUUACACUACUAUAGGGCACAGGCAAGUUACACUACUAUAGGGCACAGGCAAGUUACACUAGGGCACAGGCAAGUUACACUAGGGCACAGGCAAGUUAAACUAAGGCACAGCUAAGUAUGGUAUAUGUUUUUGUUAAUUUCAAAAGCAAUUAAAUUCUCUCUUGAGCAUUUAUUUGGGCCCUUUUUAAUCAGAAUUUCUCAGUUUUUCACUUGUGAUGGAUUUCCAGUAACGCAGAUCCAUUACGGGAAAGUGCUGGUCCAUUACAGAGUUGUACUUUACUGAAGUUGUACUUUCCUGGGGUUGUACAAUUUUUUGAAUAACAACCCCUUACCCCUGAUAUGAACAAUGCUAAAUUUAGUAUUGUACUCUGACCAAAAAUUGGAAAGUAAAUCCAAUCACAGAGACAGAGUAAAAUGUAUGUACACUGU